rnacentral:rRNA from 1 species
UACGAAGGGGGCUAGCGUUGCUCGGAAUCACUGGGCGUAAAGGGUGCGUAGGCGGGUUCUUAAGUUAGAGGUGAAAGCCUGGAGCUCAACUCCAGAACUGCCUUUAAUACUGGGAAUCUUGAGUUCGGAAGAGGUGAGUGGAACUGCGAGUGUAGAGGUGAAAUUCGUAGAUAUUCGCAAGAACACCAGUGGCGAAGGCGGCUCACUGGUCCGAUACUGACGCUGAGGCAUGAAAGCGUGGGGAGCAAACAGG